CAGGAUGAACGCUAGCGGCAGGCCUAAUACAUGCAAGUCGGACGGGAUCCAUCGGAGAGCUUGCUCGAAGAUGGUGAGAGUGGCGCACGGGUGCGUAACGCGUGAGCAACCUACCUCUAUCAGGGGGAUAGCCUCUCGAAAGAGAGAUUAACACCGCAUAACAUCAACAGUUCGCAUGUUCAGUUGAUUAAAUAUUUAUAGGAUAGAGAUGGGCUCGCGUGACAUUAGCUAGUUGGUAGGGUAACGGCUUACCAAGGCGACGAUGUCUAGGGGCUCUGAGAGGAGAAUCCCCCACACUGGUACUGAGACACGGACCAGACUCCUACGGGAGGCAGCAGUAAGGAAUAUUGGUCAAUGGGCGGAAGCCUGAACCAGCCAUGCCGCGUGCAGGAUGACUGCCCUAUGGGUUGUAAACUGCUUUUGUCCAGGAAUAAACCUAGAUACGUGUAUCUAGCUGAAUGUACUGGAAGAAUAAGGAUCGGCUAACUCCGUGCCAGCAGCCGCGGUAAUACGGAGGAUCCGAGCGUUAUCCGGAUUUAUUGGGUUUAAAGGGUGCGUAGGCGGCCUAUUAAGUCAGGGGUGAAAUACGGUGGCUCAACCAUCGCAGUGCCUUUGAUACUGAUGGGCUUGAAUCCAUUUGAAGUGGGCGGAAUAAGACAAGUAGCGGUGAAAUGCAUAGAUAUGUCUUAGAACUCCGAUUGCGAAGGCAGCUCACUAAGCUGGUAUUGACGCUGAUGCACGAAAGCGUGGGGAUCGAACAGGAUUAGAUACCCUGGUAGUCCACGCCCUAAACGAUGAUAACUCGAUGUUGGCGAUAGACAGCCAGC
rnacentral:rRNA from 1 species